GCCUCCCGGGUGGGCCCUCGGAACAUCCCGCGCCGCGUCCUCCCCGCCCAGGCUCCCGCUCGCCCGCCCGCCGGAGCCCGGCCCGCGCCGCUGGCAGCCAUCAAGUGGCUCGUUAAGGAAAUGCAGUUUAUUCUGGGCCUGUAUGGAAUAGAAAGACAAUUCUUUAUUUGACUGGAAGGAGAGAAAAGAGAAGACUCCUCAGGGUUUCCAAGGAAGACUGGAGCGACUGCUUUAGUAAGUAAACUGUGCUUCCGUAUUUCUUGUCUUAAAGUGAGGCAUAUGCUGAAUGAAUGCUUCUCCCCCGAUGGUAUGGGCGGGCAGUUUGUUCGUUA
rnacentral:lncRNA from 1 species